CCAGACUCCUACGGGAGGCAGCAGUGGGGAAUAUUGCACAAUGGGGGGAACCCUGAUGCAGCGACGCCGCGUGGGUGAAGGAGUACUUCGGUACGUAAAGCCCUAUCAGCAGGAAAGAAAAUGACGGUACCUGACUAAGAAGCCCCGGCUAACUACGUGCCAGCAGCCGCGGUAAUACGUAGGGGGCAAGCGUUAUCCGGAUUUACUGGGUGUAAAGGGGGCGCAGACGGCAGCGCAAGCCAGGAGUGAAAGCCCGGGGCCCAACCCCGGGACUGCUCUGGAAACUGUACGGCUGGAGUGCAGGAGAGGUAAGUGGAAUUCCUAGUGUAGCGGUGAAAUGCGUAGAUAUUAGGAGGAACACCAGUGGCGAAGGCGGCUUACUGGACUGUAACUGACGUUGAGGCUCGAAAGCGUGGGGAGCAAACAGGAUUAGAUACCCCCGUACA
rnacentral:rRNA from 1 species